UCUCACCUAAUGGUUGUUAGCAAGUUUUGGUGAAGACUAAUGAUGUGAAAAGCUGGCGGGAGAUGUUGAGAUGCUUUGAAGACAACAGCCUAAAGCCGCAAGCGCAAGACAGACAAGGAAUGAUCAUCGGGUUGUAAAACGAUGGCAGAAGGAUACAAGAAGUAGGGUUUUGGGAAGCUAGCAUUUGUGAGUAACUACAUGUCAAACUCCAUGUCACUGCCAAAAAAGGAAACAUAAUGUUUACUUGUUAGAGAGAUCGUUUCUUAUUUUUCUGUUGAAGUAAUUUAUGUUCGUGGUGAGAAUUUCCACUGGGGAUGUUUCCUAGCCGACGAGCACACAGCUCCCCGAGAGGUUGGCGCCAGUUGAUGCUUUCUGUCGGGCUUCUGCUUCACUGGCGGGCUUAUCGGGCAAGGCUUGUCGGGCAAAGCUGAAAGAGAAGGACAGAGUUAACUUUGAAAGGUGCCUUCGUGGGGCCUUAGGUGUAACCUUGAGGCUCACAAUUAAGAUUAACUUUUAAGUGCUCAGGCGUGCCACUGCCAUCUUCAGCAUGGCAGAUGUAAAACGGAUGUUGAGUUUUAGUUGUAUAUAUACCCGAGA
rnacentral:sRNA from 1 species